UCAUUCAUAUCGCUAUGUUUAUCUUUCUAUUUAUUAUUUCAUUGUAAAUAGACGUUUGUCUUCGAUCUAAUUAAUUUGUUUCCUUCCUUAUUAGAAAAUUUCUAAUUUGUAUAAUUUACGUGUAAAUAUGGUAAUUUUAAGAAUGAAAUUAUCGAUUCAAUCGGGUUGAGAAUGAAAAUCACGAAAGUAGAAAACGUAUUUGGCUCAAACUGAUUUGUUUAUCUAGCAAUAUCCCUCAACUUGGCUGAUUCGCGCUUACUACGGAAUUUCUAGUAAGGUGUGCCGGUGCUUGCUAUGCGACCAGAAUGAUUUCUUUCCGUGAAAGUCCCCGCGGAGCUCGCUCACGUUCCGAAUCUAGCCGGUGAAACGAAAAGCAUUUGAACUCGCGGAAUGUAACACCGAGGGAACUAAGUACGUGAAAAUCAUGAAAGUAAAAGACAAACGAAAUCGAGCACGCUCGAUCUUCGACAAUGGCCGACUGAUGCAGACACUUUCAUCGCAAGUAAGACGGUGCAAGACGAUGCCGUUCUACGUGCAUAUGUAUGUUUGUACUGUGUAUGUAUAAUUCAAGAGAAAAAGUUACGAUGGAUGAAGUAAGGGAAAAAGAAAAACCAAAAGAAAACUGUAUCGUGAUUAAUUCAUCGAUAAGAAAGAAUUAAAAAGAGCAACGAUAAGAACGAUUAUUUUAUUAUUUAAUUAAAACAAGGAAAUAGGAAAAAAUUAAAAUAAUAUUCAAGGAAUAAAUAACAGCGUAAAUGUCUUCCGAUUGAAAUGCUAAGGUACUUAUCCUUAUAAAUAAACAGAAAGGAUAAUUGCGCGAAAUUAAAGCGCAAUUAAUUGCUAGGAUUAUGCCUGCACGAUCUUGGCAAAACGUAGGAGGAUUAUAUCACGCUUGAAGACUUCGCUACGCUUGGUAGCAGUCUCUUCUCUUUAUCUUGUCGAACACUUCGCAUCUUCCGAAACUAUCUUCAUCUACGAUUACUCGAGAAGCGCAGAGCUGGAUCGUAAAGUCUAGGAACGAACCGUUCCAGGAUGCAUCACGAGGGUUCAAACAUGGUUAUGAAAAUGCAUCAACCUUGGUCAUGAUCAUCUUAGAAAAAAAAACAAUAUAUAUAUAUAUAUAUAUAUAUAUAUAUAUAUAUAUA